rnacentral:lncRNA from 1 species
AUGUGGCCCGUCGGCUCCCAUUGGGUUUGGUGCUGCUCACCACCCCUGGAAGUCCCCACGGCCACGGAUGGGGCUCUGCUCAGCCGGGUCUGCCGGGGUGGGCGUAAAGAUCCCCUCAAAUCUGAGCCCUUCCGUAGUCCUGUGCCGAUCCUACGGCCUCGGGUCGCUCCCAAAGCCCACGUUCGUCUCUGGGCGGGGCAGCAGCAGCACCCGAUGUCCCCACCGACGGCACGGAGCCGCUCCCCCCCAACUCCCCCCCCCAGCCCUCCCCACCUCUGUGCAGUCAGGCCGCAGCCGCUUCCUGGCCGUUGCGCACAGCUCCUUGCCAACCCAGCGUUAGGAAAGAGCUUCUGCUUUCAGUGCCGGGGAGCUCCGCUGCCGCCGGAGGUGCUCACCUCCCUCUGCUCGGCCGGCCGCGAUGGCGCUCAGGAGGGAGGAGAACUCAUAGGCAGCGUCCGUGGAUGGGAAAUGGAACACCCGGAGGGGAAAGAGGCGGCGGGGCGACACCUGAGAGCAAAGCUGAAGGACGGCAGGAAACCCCCCCCCGCAGCGGACGGACGGGCGCGGGGUCCCCCCGCAGCUUUCCUCGCGACGGAGCCGGGUCGGGCGCUCACGCCGGGCUCUAAGGGCGAACCGCCCCCCGGGUCUCCCCUCGCCGGGAGGGUGGGCGGCAGCAGAACCCCUCCGACGCGCAGCAAAGCCCAGAGUGAGGGUCCCGGCCCCCGUCCGAUGCCCGUUCCGCAGAGCCCGGAGUGGAUGGCGCGGCUGAAGAAGGGCGUCGCUCCGAGGGCCGCCUCCCAACCCCCCGCAGCCACGCCGGGAGGACGGGACGCGGCGGACGACAGGGGGGUCGGAGCCACCUCCCAUCCCCCCGCGAGGAACCCAGCCUCGCACAAAUGGCCGCUGCUCAACGACGCGGCCGCUCCGGCGGUCCCCGCUGCAGGCGCAGCCGCUGCCGGUGGGAUCCGGGGGCAAACUCCGCGCAGGAAGCCGCUGCCGCACGCCGCGUUGCUGGGAGCGAGGCCGGCAAAACCCCGGCGGCCUCCGGGGGUGGAUCUGGAGAAGUUCCAUAGGGCUGCACCCCCCGGGGAGCCCGGCCGCACUGCCGUGGGGUCGCGGAGUGCUGUGCUGGGUACGGCGUGGGGAUGGGGAUGUUGGGGAUGGGUGCGGGGUGGGGAUGUGCAUGGGGUGGGUAUGGGGUGA